rnacentral:rRNA from 1 species
GUCUACAGCCUACCACCUGAAAUGCACCCAUCUCAUCUGAUCUUGGAAGCUUAAGCAGGGUCAGGCCUGGUUAGUACUUGGAUGAAAACAGAUCUUCAAAAAGAGACUGCUCAGAGACAAGCAGUUUGAGACA